CUGCUGUCAACAGUUGAUUAAAUGUCCCCUACAAUAUCACAGCAACUAAACAAUCUUGCAGGUGAGUUGAGACAGCAGCACCUGCACACAGAAUGUUCUAGGUUUUCUCAGGCAGUGACUCACAACACACUGGAUUGUUUUCUACCCAGUGUUCUCUCUGAGGGCGAUCUCUCAUAUGCUGUAUAAACACAGAGAACCCUAAAAGUAACCAGACAGCUCAGAUAUUUUGUUCAGCAUUUACUGUUUUGAUGUCGAGCAAAUUCAGUAGUUGUGUUAAAAAAGGUUGCAGUCACCUCAAUGUGAGCACAAGAUUGGAUUAAAUAUGUCAUAUGUCAGUUUAAGUAAGUCAGAUAUUUACCAUUCUGAACAGAAAUCAAUCUUUCAGCAACUAAACAUGUUCUAAUAUUCUGACUGUCAUAGUCCUAACUCUUUCAUAGUCUAAAAUUGUUCAAAUUAGUCUUGUACACAUGUACAACUAGUGCCUCUUGGCUGUCUUCCCUCAUCAAUCUACAAUGACCUUUAAAAACAAGAUAUGUAAACAGUACAUGCAAGUAUUAACAGUAAUCACAGUCAUUUUUCUUCAAAUACACAGCAACACAGUCAGAUCUCACUGUCAGCCAGUGUGAUAUUAUUGUAGUUUACCCACAAUGCCUGUUCAGUCAAUGACACCACUGGUUAUCUCCCUUUAACUUCCACUCAAGGUGAAAGCCUAUGACACAUUCAAAAUGCACAAAAUUCAAUAACAUAUCUUGCUAGAUGCAUCUACUACGAAAAUACAAGACAAAUAAUAGUGCAGUGAGUUUGUAGCUAAGCCAAAAGGACCUUUUACAAUGGUAACUUGGGUUAUCAUAUUCAACUGUAUGCUGUACUGUGUUGGGCCUCUGCUUUGUUGUAAGAGGGUUUGUAGUAGUGUUGGGAAUAGGUAGAAAUCUCACACCUGAUAAUUGGUUCCUUACCAACGAGCAAUCAUCGA